AGCCUUAUAGUCAAGAGAUGAUAUUAGACUGCAAUUCUAAAGUGGUAAAUUUUAGUUUACUAAGGCUU
rnacentral:tRNA from 1 species